AAGAAGAAGUCUGCAUUGUUUUCUGCAAGUGUUUAUGUGUCACUGUUCAUGAGUCAUGCUUCAUAUUAUCUGGAUCCAAAGAACUAGUCACAAUAAAAUGCUAAUGCUAUAUGAUUCCAAUACGUAAGGUCCAUGAGGGAUCUUAUAAAGGAUAGUGGAAUAAAGCAUCAAUACUAAUUUGAUUGAACAUAACAUUUUAUACCUAGUUAGUUGAAUAAAAUGCUAAUUCAUUCUUGACACAAUAAUUUGAUAUGUAUGGCACCAUUUUCCUUUUUCUUAUCUUGUUUGUGUCAUUGAAACUUGGAAUAAAAUGUGAAAAAAGGUGGCAAAGGAUCUGAGCGGGAAAGAGAUAAAUGCAUUAGCACAACACAUAUAGAACCUGCUGACACCAUCAACACCAUUAUUCUUCAAUACCCUCUAUGAUCCAUAUAGGGAAGGAGCUGACUUCGUUCGUGGAUACCCCUUUAGCUUGAGAGAAGCAGUGUCUACUGCCAUCUCUCAUGGGCUGUGGCUCAACAUUCCGACUAUGAUGCCCCUACUCAGCUUGUCAAGCCUCGUGAGCACAACACCAGGCUGAGGACUUGGUAUAAGUUUUUUUAAGGUCUAUUGGACAAUUUAAUUGACUUGAUCCAUUCAAAGAAGAUAACAAAAGAAAAUAGAAAGAACAUUUUUGCAGUUGAUUUGGUUGGUCAAAAUGGACAUUCUCAGAUCUUUGUUUUUGUUUUAGCUGGUAUCUCCACUAUGACAUUCUCAGAUCUGGUAAACAUAUUUUCAACUGGCCUUUUCAGCAUUAUAGAUGGUUAAGUAAGGGGGAUCCUAUAGCCCUUCUCUUAUGUUUCUUUUUUGUUAUGAAGAUGCUGAAAAGGAUGAUUGCAAGAGCAGCAAGAGGCAUUCUUAUUGUGUUUCAGGUGGGAAAGGAAAUUGAGAUUUCAAACUUUGUUAUAGAUGAUCCCUGCAUCAUCUUCGAUUGGAAAUUUAACUGAGCUUGGUUAUCUUAGUUUUCUGCUUCUUUGCAUUGAGACACUUCUUCAUUAAAAAAGAAUAUGGGUUCAAGUGAAUUGGUUUGAGCGGAAGAUGAAUUGGCAGCUUUGUAGGCUGCAAGGUGAAGAGAAUGAUCAAUCCUUUGCCAAUAAUGAGCUUGAUGAAAGAGUGUACAGGCAUUAUGGGUCUCCUCAAUUAGAAUGGCUUUUCUUGGGAUGUAAUUUGCAAAACAGUGGCACUGUGGCAGCUGAUGUUUAGCUUUGGGAAGCUCUUAUCAAGGAACAUUUGGAUGCAACUGCAUACAAAUAUAGGGGAUCUCAUAUUUCUGAUUUGUGCUUGAUUUAUGGUAACGAAAGUCAGAAUGGAAGAUCAAAUUGUUUGGACAUGAAAAUGGAGGUCAACAAUAAUGCCCUUUGGAUGGGAUUGACGAUAACUUGGGAUAUGCAAUAUCCAGCAAUGGAGUUUGAAAUAUCUUAUCAGGGGAAAAAUAAAAUGUUUGCAACUUCUUUAGCCUCUGCACGUUCUCAAAAAUUUCAGAGAUCAAGGGAGAGUUACAAGAAGCACUUGGGGAAAGGCCAUGAGUAGUCAAAACAAAUGUGGGUAACGAGAAGGACAAAGACUACAAUUGAAUAGAAUGUAUUGAUACAACACUUCAAAUUGUUCCUGAAAUAGACGAGAGAAUGGCCAUGAAAUUUGCAGCGAGGAAAUGGUUAUUGAGAAAGGUUUGACAGGAUAUCUAUUUUGCUUGUCAAAUUUAGAGUAAAUAUUUUUUUGGAAUAGAAUUUCUUGCUUGAUUUCAUUGUUUACUUAUAACCAAAUCAUUUUCAAGUGUUCAAGGUUUUAAUAGGAA